UACGUAGGGGGCAAGCGUUGUUCGGAUUCAUUGGGCGUAAAGGGUGUGUAGGUGGCGCCGUAAGUCGGGUGUGAAAUUUCGGAGCUUAACUCCGAAACUGCAUUCGAUACUGCGGUGCUUGAGGACUGGAGAGGAGACUGGAAUUCAUGGUGUAGCAGUGAAAUGCGUAGAGAUCAUGAGGAAGACCAGUGGCGAAGGCGGGUCUCUGGACAGUUCCUGACACUGAGGCACGAAGGCCAGGGGAGCAAACGGG
rnacentral:rRNA from 1 species